CGGGCUCAGCGCCAGGAAAACUCUUCUGUCCUACCUCGCAGACUCAUGAAUACAGCAUCUGGACAGCCCUCUCCUCUCUUUUCACUGGAUCGCUGUCUUUGGAAACUGGAAAUCAGUUUCCUCUGUGUGUUCGUGUGCAGAGUUGAGCCUGUCUGUGUUGCACUUUCAGGCAUCCACGGCACAGAUGUUUUCACUUUGACCUCCUCCUCUGUCUUGCCUGAAUGCCCCCGCCCAUUUGGUGCCCUUAGAAGAAGGGGAGGAUGGAGACAGACAAGAUGGCCAUCCACUGAUAUGAGUGAUACAGGACCAACUCACUCUUAGUUACUUUUCACCCAGUGCAACAGUACAUGCCUGACCACUAAGAGAAAAAAGAACAGCAGGGAUGUAUUUUUACAGGAUACAGUUUGAGGUGAUAUUUAGCACUGCAGUAAAGAGCAGCAAGGAAAAUCACCACAUAUCUUCAUCAAAUAGAGGAUCAGCCUGCAAACCCAAAUUGUCUCCUAGCUGUGGAUUGGUCUCAACAGCUGUCUGAAAAGCAGCAUGAACUGCAGCGGCCCCUUUCCAGUGCAUUCCUGUUCAAUACCAAGCUGAAGUAUGUGUCUUCAGAAGAUGCUGAGGAAGAUGGUGACCAUGAGGAGGAUCCUCCACGUGAAGGGAGAUGUGAUUUGCACGAUGCUGCUACUGAUACUAUUCUGUCUGCUGCUCUAUGCACGCCAGGUUGUGCUCUCCUCUGGGUGGGACAGACCUGUGUGGAAGCUAGAAGUUCAUGGCUCUACCAGCUCCAGCAGGACCCUACUGGGCGCCAGUGGGGCCAAAGUAAUCCCGGAGUCUCCAGUGGUAUGACCUGAUCUAA